UACCCGCUGAACUUGCAUAUCAAUAAGCGGAGGA
rnacentral:rRNA from 1 species